rnacentral:rRNA from 1 species
UACGUAGGGCGCAAGCGUUGUCCGGAAUUAUUGGGCGUAAAGAGCUCGUAGGCGGCCAGUUGCGUCCGCUGUGAAAUCCCGGGGCUUAACCCCGGGCGUGCAGUGGAUACGGGCUGGCUAGAGGCAGGCAGGGGAGAACGGAAUUCCCGGUGUAGCGGUGAAAUGCGUAGAUAUCGUCUGGAACGCCGAAGGUGAAAACAGCUACGCUGGGGCUGCGCUGACGCUGAGACACGAAAGCCAGGGGAGCGAACGGG